UCCGAUAUGGUGUAACGGCUAACAUCGCCGCCUUUCAAACCGAAAGACUUGACCGCGGCAGCUCGGGGUUCGAUUCCCCGUAUCGGAG
rfam:Aspergillus niger supercontig An15